CAGAUCUUGUCUCAACUUGGAUGGUGUUCUGACUAGACCAACCUAGAAGACUUUGUGUAGGUCAGGACUGAAUCUCAUCAGGCUUUACCCGGGAGCAAAUUCUUCUCCAUACACCACAGGAGCCCGCUGUGGAGCACUGACAGCCUGGGGGUGAGCAUCAGCUCCCAUUGAGCUGGUGCUAUGGCUUUACCCAUAUGGAGCCUUCAUGGAGAAGAGCCAAAUUACC
rnacentral:lncRNA from 1 species